rnacentral:lncRNA from 1 species
AUGAGCCAUCAAGCCAUGAGGAGACGGGGAGCAACCUUGAGGGCAAAUCCCCAGGCGAAAGAAGCCAAUCUGAAAAGGCCACAUGCCGUCUGGUUCCACCUACAUGACGUCCUGGAAGAGGCAAAGCGAUGGAGGCAGGAAAGCGAUCAGUGGGCUGAGAGCCGAAUCCAGUCGCAGCCAGACAGAGAAACGUGUCCACGUGACUCGCCGACGACUCGGGGCAAGUGGCACGAGAGGUUAUUUAUUAGAAUUUCACUCUGCAUUGCGACACCGCCCUUCAGAUCACCUCUGCGGUUGGGCAAUCCCUGCCCUAUAAAUACCGAGGCACUCCCGCCUCUGGCAGCCUCUGGAAGCCUCCAGAAGCCUCAGGAAGCUGGGCCUGCGAGGAGCCUCUCUCCCUUCCCUGGGCAUCCCGGCCCAGCCUGCGGCCGUCAUGAGGCCUCUCUACUUGCUGCUGCUGCUUCUGUGCCUUCUCUUCUCCUACCUGCCCCCAGAGCACAAGCAAAUGAAGCCACACUCCCCCAAGCAGCAGCAGCAGUGAGCUCCGGCGGCGGCUCCCCAGAUGGGCACUUGCCCCCAGGUCCCCGCAGGCCGCACCGCUCCCUGUCGCCCUGCCUCAGUCUACUUCACCGACUUUCCGGGCGGCCUGGCGGCCGUGGCACCUGCUUGUGCUGCCCCGAGCUACCCGAACUAGUGCCAGGAGUGAGUCUCAGAAAAGUUGCCUUUCAAGUCCCCGGGCAGCCUGGAACAAGAACUGGAUCCCAGAUGUGGCCCCAGACCCCGUAUCCUCCUGCGUGUGGACCGCAAGAACCACGGAGGCAGGACCUGGAUUAGAAACCCCCCGGGAACUCACACCGGGCAUUGCCGACGGGCUGAGCGGGCCAUGGCCAGCAGAGACCUCGUGGGCCACGUGUCUGUGGAACCAGGCCUCGGGCCUUUGGUCCCGUUCCAGCCCCAUCUGAAGUUUGGUGGCCUGUCCCGCAGGAGUGCCCGUGCGCUGCUUCCGUCCCCAGACAGCCGAAGCAGCCCCGGAGAGGGCGCCUGCCGGCUCGGGGGGCUAGGGACCCGAAGCCUGCUGUUCACUAGGGUCCUGGUCUCGGGGUCCGGGCUGGGAUGGAGCCUGGUGGGGGGCGGGGGGGGCUGGCUCAGCCGGGAGUCUGCUUCUCUCCCUCUGCACCCCCUGCACCCCCGCUCUCCUCUCUCUCAAAUAAAUAAAAUCCUUUAAAAAACGAACCA